rnacentral:rRNA from 1 species
UUAAGUUAUUAAGGGCGCACGGUGGAUGCCUUGGCACUAGAAGCCGAUGAAGGACGUUACUAACGACGAUAUGCUUUGGGGAGCUGUAAGUAAGCUUUGAUCCAGAGAUUUCCGAAUGGGGAAACCCAGCAUGAGUUAUGUCAUGUUAUCGAUAUGUGAAUACAUAGCAUAUCAGAAGGCACACCCGGAGAACUGAAACAUCUUAGUACCCGGAGGAAGAGAAAGAAAAUUCGAUUCCCUUAGUAGCGGCGAGCGAAACGGGAAGAGCCCAAACCAACAAGCUUGCUUGUUGGGGUUGUAGGACACUCUAUACGGAGUUACAAAGGACGACAUUAGACGAAUCAUCUGGAAAGAUGAAUCAAAGAAGGUAAUAAUCCUGUAGUCGAAAAUGUUGUCUCUCUUGAGUGGAUCCUGAGUACGACGGAGCACGUGAAAUUCCGUUGGAAUCUGGGAGGACCAUCUCCUAAGGCUAAAUACUCUCUAGUGACCGAUAGUGAACCAGUACCGUGAGGGAAAGGUGAAAAGCACCCCGGAAGGGGAGUGAAAUAGAACCUGAAACCGUGUGCUUACAAGUAGUCAGAGCCCGUUAAUGGGUGAUGGCGUGCCUUUUGUAGAAUGAACCGGCGAGUUACGAUUUGAUGCAAGGUUAAGCAGUAAAUGUGGAGCCGUAGCGAAAGCGAGUCUGAAUAGGGCGUUUAGUAUUUGGUCGUAGACCCGAAACCAGGUGAUCUACCCUUGGUCAGGUUGAAGUUCAGGUAACACUGAAUGGAGGACCGAACCGACUUACGUUGAAAAGUGAGCGGAUGAACUGAGGGUAGCGGAGAAAUUCCAAUCGAACCUGGAGAUAGCUGGUUCUCUCCGAAAUAGCUUUAGGGCUAGCCUCAAGUGAUGAUUAUUGGAGGUAGAGCACUGUUUGGACGAGGGGCCCCUCUCGGGUUACCGAAUUCAGACAAACUCCGAAUGCCAAUUAAUUUAACUUGGGAGUCAGAACAUGGGUGAUAAGGUCCGUGUUCGAAAGGGAAACAGCCCAGACCACCAGCUAAGGUCCCAAAAUAUAUGUUAAGUGGAAAAGGAUGUGGCGUUGCCCAGACAACUAGGAUGUUGGCUUAGAAGCAGCCAUCAUUUAAAGAGUGCGUAAUAGCUCACUAGUCGAGUGACACUGCGCCGAAAAUGUACCGGGGCUAAACAUAUUACCGAAGCUGUGGAUUGUCCUUUGGACAAUGGUAGGAGAGCGUUCUAUGGGCGUUGAAGCAUGAUCGUAAGGACAUGUGGAGCGCUUAGAAGUGAGAAUGCCGGUGUGAGUAGCGAAAGACGGGUGAGAAUCCCGUCCACCGAUUGACUAAGGUUUCCAGAGGAAGGCUCGUCCGCUCUGGGUUAGUCGGGUCCUAAGCUGAGGCCGACAGGCGUAGGCGAUGGAUAACAGGUUGAUAUUCCUGUACCACCUAUAAUCGUUUUAAUCGAUGGGGGGACGCAGUAGGAUAGGCGAAGCGUGCGAUUGGAUUGCACGUCUAAGCAGUAAGGCUGAGUAUUAGGCAAAUCCGGUACUCAUUAAGGCUGAGCUGUGAUGGGGAGAAGACAUUGUGUCUUCGAGUCGUUGAUUUCACACUGCCGAGAAAAGCCUCUAGAUAGAAAAUAGGUGCCCGUACCGCAAACCGACACAGGUAGUCAAGAUGAGAAUUCUAAGGUGAGCGAGCGAACUCUCGUUAAGGAACUCGGCAAAAUGACCCCGUAACUUCGGGAGAAGGGGUGCUCUUUAGGGUUAACGCCCAGAAGAGCCGCAGUGAAUAGGCCCAAGCGACUGUUUAUCAAAAACACAGGUCUCUGCUAAACCGUAAGGUGAUGUAUAGGGGCUGACGCCUGCCCGGUGCUGGAAGGUUAAGAGGAGUGGUUAGCUUCUGCGAAGCUACGAAUCGAAGCCCCAGUAAACGGCGGCCGUAACUAUAACGGUCCUAAGGUAGCGAAAUUCCUUGUCGGGUAAGUUCCGACCCGCACGAAAGGCGUAACGAUUUGGGCACUGUCUCAACGAGAGACUCGGUGAAAUCAUAGUACCUGUGAAGAUGCAGGUUACCCGCGACAGGACGGAAAGACCCCGUGGAGCUUUACUGUAGCCUGAUAUUGAAAUUCGGCACAGCUUGUACAGGAUAGGUAGGAGCCUUUGAAACGUGAGCGCUAGCUUACGUGGAGGCGCUGGUGGGAUACUACCCUAGCUGUGUUGGCUUUCUAACCCGCACCACUUAUCGUGGUGGGAGACAGUGUCAGGCGGGCAGUUUGAC